CAGUCGCCGCGGUAAUACGUAGGUGGCAAGCGUUGUCCGGAAUUAUUGGGCGUAAAGCGCGCGCAGGCGGAUCAGUUAGUCUGUCUUAAAAGUUCGGGGCUUAACCCCGUGAGGGGAUGGAAACUGCUGAUCUAGAGUAUCGGAGAGGAAAGUGGAAUUCCUAGUGUAGCGGUGAAAUGCGUAGAUAUUAGGAAGAACACCAGUGGCGAAGGCGACUUUCUGGACGAAAACUGACGCUGAGGCGCGAAAGCCAGGGGAGCGAACGGGAUUAGAUACCCCAGUAGUCCCUGUCUCUUAUACA
rnacentral:rRNA from 1 species